AGAGUUUGAUCCUGGCUCAGAACGAACGCUGGCGGAGUGCUUAAGACAUGCAAGUCGUACGAGAAAGUCGCCUUCGGGUGAUGAGUAAAGUGGCGCACGGGUGAGUAUCACGUGGGUAAUCUACCCUCAGGUUCGGGACAACUCCGGGAAACUGGAGCUAAUACCGGAUAAGCCCCCGGGGUCUUCGGAUCCGGUGGGAAAAGGUGGCCUCUUCAUGAAUGCUGCCGCCUGCUGAUGAGCCCGCGUCCCAUUAGCUUGUUGGUGAGGUAACGGCUCACCAAGGCUUCGAUGGGUAGCUGGUCUGAGAGGAUGAUCAGCCACACUGGAACUGAGACACGGUCCAGACUCCUACGGGAGGCAGCAGUCGGGAAUCUUGGGCAAUGGGCGCAAGCCUGACCCAGCAACUCCGCGUGAGGGAUGAAGGCCCUCGGGUCGUAAACCUCUGUCGGGAGGGAAGAAAGCCGUGCGGUUAAUAGCUUCACGGUCUGACGGUACCUCCAAAGGAAGCGCCGGCUAACUCCGUGCCAGCAGCCGCGGUAAUACGGAGGGCGCGAGCGUUGUUCGGAAUCAUUGGGCGUAAAGCGGGUGUAGGCGGCUUGACAAGUUGGGUGUGAAAGCCCUGGGCCCAACCCAGGAAAUGCACUCGAAACUGUCUCGCUAGAGUCCCGGAGAGGGUGGCGGAAUUCCCGGUGUAGAGGUGAAAUUCGUAGAUAUCGGGAGGAACACCAGUGGCGAAGGCGGCCACCUGGACGGUGACUGACGCUCAGACCCGAAAGCGUGGGGAGCGAACAGGAUUAGAUACCCUGGUAGUCCACGCCGUAAACGUUGGGUGCUCGACGUAGCGGGUAUUGACCCCUGCUGUGAGCAUGUGGUUUAAUUCGAAGCAACGCGCAGAACCUUACCUGGGUUUGACAUCUGGAGAAUCUCCCUGAAAGGGGAGAGUGCCUUCGGGAGCUCCAAGACAGGUGCUGCAUGGCUGUCGUCAGCUCGUGUCGUGAGGUGUUGGGUUAAGCCCGCAACGAGCGCAACCCCUAUCGCUAGUUGCCAUCAGUUCGGCUGGGCACUCUAGUGAACUGCCGGUGUUAAACCGGAGGAGGGUGGGGAUGACGUCAAGUCCUCAUGGCCUUUAUACCCAGGGCUACUCACGUGCUACAAUGGUCGGUACAGAGGGUCGCGAUCCCGCGAGGGGGAGCUAAUCCCAAAAGACCGGCCUCAGUUCGGAUUGGAGUCUGCAAUUCGACUCCAUGAAGGCGGAAUCGCUAGUAAUCGCGGAUCAGCAUGCCGCGGUGAAUACGUUCCCGGGCCUUGUACACACCGCCCGUCACACCACGAAAGCUGGUUGAACCAGAAGACGGCGACCUAACCGCAAGGAUGGAACCG
rnacentral:rRNA from 1 species